CGCGCUGCGCUGGCCACUUCAGGUCCCUUGGAUCGGCGACCGGAGGCUCUUCCCGGCCGGGCCGUCCCGGCCACGGCGCUCGAGCUGCACAGAAGUUGGGGAGAGUCGCCGUCUCCAUGGGAUAGUUUUGCUGGAUAUGGAAUCCUUGACUGACAGAUACUGUUCUUCCCAUACUUCAAAUAUGUCAUCCUCUGCCUUCUGGCCUCACGGUUUCUGGUUCCUGUGAUAAACACACGGCGAUUUCCUGACACUGCUUUAGAGCUUAGAAAAUUUGUUCGAGGUUGUGCAGCUUCUCAGCGGCACAUCUGGACAGAAGCCCAGCCUCUGACUCCACCCUCCCACUGCCCUGUGCCGCCACGGUCACCUUCGACACGGUCCCUUCCAGACCCUCCAGCCUGCAGCAGCCUCCCCCCGCCCCCGAUCCCCUCCUGGGGACCCUACUGCAUUCUCAGGUCGCGGUGCUGGCUAGGGACGACCGCCUCUGCCUUCCUGAGCGACCACCGUAUCCUCAGUCCUCCGUCCUCCUCGGAGUCUCUGUGUCUGAUACUGUCACCUCCUGCUUGACACCCUCUGUCCGGUGACGCGACAGUCCCGACGGCACCAGCAAUCUGACCGUCCCUUUCUGCUCACUCCCCUCAGCCUACUCUCUAGGACAGACUAGACUCUCUCUCAGAAGGCUGAUCUCUCUCCUGAUUUAAAUGACCAUCGCUACACGAGGCCUCGCGAUUUCUUCCCUUGUUAUCACGUUUAAGCUCUGGUGCCAUUUCUCUCGCUCCCGACAGACAUGUCCCUGCGAUGUCACACUGGACUGGCAGCAGGUCCGCCAUGGAACCCAGGACGUCCUUCCAGCUCAGGGCCCAACUUCACACUUUAGUUAGUGGUCCCCGCGGGGCCUGGAGAACACGCGGGAGAUUUUAGAUAAAACGUCUGAAACCUCUGUGGACUUGAAACAAAGAGCUGAAUUGGGACGAGUCACGCUUCCUCCUCCACUGUGACUGCUGCCCAGCCCCAGCCCCAGCCCCAGCCCGCCGCCCUCCAGGGCAGGUGGCCUCCUGAAGGCGGUGUCGCGUGGUCACAGGCCUGUGGCAGUCGGGGCGAGGAGCGCUGGUUCCCUUCUGCCGCUGAACUCGCUCCCGGCUGCUGCUCUGACCCGUCUUGCAGGGCGCAGGCGGCCCCCCUUCUCCGCGGGGGACGCGGUCCCCUGAAACCGCAGACAGCAGCGAACCCUGCACGUUACGCCUUUUCCUGUGCGCAGCUCCCCAUGGUGACGCCUGCGAGUUCGGCAGAGGCCGCCCAC